UACGGACAUAUCAUGUUCAAAAACCGGUUCACUUACGAUCACCGAAGUUAAGUAGCUUGAAGUCUGGUCAGUAUUUAGACGGGUGACCGCUUGGGAAUACCAGGUGGUGUA